rnacentral:rRNA from 1 species
UACGUAGGGUGCAAGCGUUGUCCGGAAUUAUUGGGCGUAUAGAGCUCGUAGGCGGUCUGUCGCGUCGGCUGUGAAAACCUGGGGCUCAACCCCGGGCCUGCAGCCGAUACGGGCAGACUAGAGUUCGGCAGGGGAGACUGGAAUUCCUGGUGUAGCGGUGAAAUGCGCAGAUAUCAGGAGGAACACCGGUGGCGAAGGCGGGUCUCUGGGCCGAUACUGACGCUGAGGAGCGAAAGCGUGGGGAGCAAACAGG